rnacentral:misc_RNA from 1 species
CCUAGAGCUGUAGGCUUUGCCUGCUAUCUCUUACCCAUGUCUUUUGAGUACCUUACGUUUCCUCGGUGGGUUCGCCCACCGAUUGGACAAACUUAAAACCCUUUGCAGUUGAAAUCAGCGUCUGAAAAAAACUUAAUAGUUA